UACGUAGGGUGCGAGCGUUAAUCGGAAUUACUGGGCGUAAAGCGUGCGCAGGCGGCUUUGCAAGACAGAUGUGAAAUCCCCGGGCUCAACCUGGGAACUGCAUUUGUGACUGCAUGGCUAGAGUGCGGCAGAGGGGGAUGGAAUUCCAGGUGUAGCGGUGAAAUGCGUAGAUAUCUGGAGGAACACCGGUGGCGAAGGCGGCAUCCUGGACCAACACUGACGCUGAGUGAGCGAAAGCCAGGGGAGCAAACGGG
rnacentral:rRNA from 1 species